UCAAACUUAGAGCUCGAAGAGCCUUCGGCUCAGCUCUUAAGACGAUCAAACGGUAACAGGAGGUUAACGAACUGUAGUACGCAUAUAGUAAAUUCUUUGAACAUGUGUUUAAGUUUAAUGCUAAUUGGUUGCUUUUAAAAUCAACGGGUGGCUCUUGAAGUUUCAAGUCAACUGGAGACUCUUAAUCAAGAUUAUACUCAAACAUACACAAUAGGUUCACCAUCACAUGCAUAGCUUACAUUUUAUUUUGGCAGGUCUUCUAAUUCUAGAGCUGUGCAUAACAGACUAUACAAAACAGUACCAUAUGCCAAAGAGAAUCACUAACUUCUACUUGCCUAGAGGUACUUCAAAGAUUAGACCAGAGGUCAUCUUACUCCUAUUUGCCUAUAUGCACUUCAAGGACGACCAGAGGUAAACCUUAAAUUGCCUAUAGCAGAGGUUGGCAACCUGCGACCCUCGUGCGUCUCUUCGGAUGUUAAGCUGCGACUCUUUAGUUCCAUAUGCAAGUAUUUAUUUGAUCGAAUUUAAGUUGUACUAUAAUAAUUUUAAAAAAUUUUCAGCUUUAAGUUUUCUCCAACACUAUAAAUUAUCUGUUCUCUAAAGCUAUGCUAAAAUGUAGUGCCUGAGUUAUGUGUUGAUUACAAUGUACCGAUUCUUGAUUAAAUAUUGUGACACAACAUCCAUCAUGCAUAGCUGGGGAACAGUGAUAUUUGUAUACAACUUUCACUUUCAACUAUUGAAUAAGUUAGUAUUAUUGAAGUAUCCUACUGAAUACUAAAAGUAUAAUGACAAGAAUAAAUGAAUUUAUUUAAUUUGUUUCGUAUGUUUCAGAUGUCCUUCUGAUUAGAAAAUAUUACAGCCUAGCUUUAAUCUCCUGCAGAAUGGCAAGGGAUGGGGAUUUAAACCUGUGAACAUACAUAGAGUCCAGAGUGUGUAUGACAUGAUCAUACAACCAUUUCCACAAUCUAAAAAUAGACCAAAGUAAAUAAGUACAUUAAAUAGAAUACAAUGAAAAAUGACUUUUCAACCUUAUCUUCCCUAUAUAACUUUUCCAAUAGCUAGGAUAGAACCAGAUCCCGUAAAUCUUAUAUCUAUUUCCAUCUCCUCUUGUAAUUAAAGACCAUUCUAUUAAUAUAAAACAAAAGUGAAAGACAUUUCUUUAUUUUAUACUUCACUGAAUCAUCAUAAAGAACAUACUUUUCUUAUAGAUACAUUUUAAACCUCUUUCACAAAAAAAACAACACUCAAGAAAAAUGUUUUGUGGAUAAAGACUGAAUUCUUCAAUUGGACAAUAGGAGUUAAUAUAAUCUCUAUAUCUUUCAUCAUUUCUAGUUACAGAUUGUACAAUGUCAGCAAGACCAAGAAAAUAUUUUUUUUUCUAACUGUUAGCUUUUCUAAGGUCAACAAAGACCUGACUAGUUUAAAGUUCAAGGGAACAGACACACAGGACAAUAAUCAGGAGGUUAUGGUGUCAAUAAGACUUACAAUAUAUAAUAGAAUGGUAUGAGCUAUAUAUUACACACAAAGAUAUCAAUAAGUUAAUUAUAGCUUUUAUAUAGCGCUCCUUUCAUGCUUAUAGCAUGCUCAGAGCGCUAUGGUCCAAUCUUAUUUGUGGACAGUAGGGGUGUAUCUGGGAAAAGUCUUUCUGUGCUGCCUUUAGGAGCUCAGUAAACACAACUCUGCUCGAGUCGGGUGUCGAACCUUGAGACCCCUUCAUAGGUAGCCAAGCCAAGUUCAAGUGUACUUAGCCUCUCGACCACACCUCCCACCUUAAGUUUUGAUUAGGGACACAACAAAAGUUAGAUGUUUUAACAAUAGUACAACUAACAGUUAUAACAGUUCAAUAAGGAAACAUGGAGGCCAAUUGGCCAAAUAUUUGACACAAGAGCAUUUCAGGAGAAAGAAAGUGAGUGAAGAAAUGGGAAGAAAGAAAGAAUAGAGAAGGUGAAUGUGAGGUAGAACAGAGAAAGAAUAGAGAAGGUGAAUGUGAGGUAGAACAAAGAAAUAUCUAAACAUUACAAAAAAAGAUACUUAAACAUUUUGUCACUAUAAUGAUAUUUUUGGAGGGGAGGGACUACAGAUUGUACUAAAGGUAUUCAUCAAAACCUUAGUACUAGUUCAAAAUAUUUUAGUGAAUAAAAAAAAUAAGACAAUGAAAAAAAUAGUUUGAUUAAAGUUUAGCUGUGCACACAUAAUACAAAUAUAUACAAGUUUUUUUUGUUUUUUUUUAAUAAAAUAUAUUGAAUUCAACUAAUAAAAGAAAUACAAAAAUACUCGAGAUGCUUUCAAAAUGCAAUAAAAUGUCUUGAAUCUGUAGGUGUUCUAGUAGAAUAGAAAUCAGUGAUUGGCUGUCACAGCUGAUUUUCUGACG
rnacentral:sRNA from 1 species